AACGCACCUUGCGCCCUUUGGCUAUUCCGAAGGGCAUGCCUGUUUGAGUAUCAUGAACACCUCAACUCUCACGGUUUCUCGUGAUGAGCUUGGACUUGGGGGUUUGUCGGCCUGUGGUCGGCUCUCCUCAAACGAAUUAGCUUGCCGGUGUCUGGCGGCAUCAUGGGUGUGAUAACCAUCUACGCUUGUGAUCGCCUGCGAGGUAAACCUCUGGUCUGCAGAGGUUCGCCGGAGCUUAUAGACGUCUCUCCUCAGCGAAGACAGCUGUCUGAAGUUCGAUCUCAAAUCAGGUAGGACUACCCGCUGAACUUAA
rnacentral:misc_RNA from 1 species